UACGUAGGGCGCAAGCGUUAUCCGGAAUUAUUGGGCGUAAAGAGCUCGUAGGCGGUUUGUCGCGUCUGCCGUGAAAGUCCGGGGCUCAACUCCGGAUCUGCGGUGGGUACGGGCAGACUAGAGUGAUGUAGGGGAGACUGGAAUUCCUGGUGUAGCGGUGAAAUGCGCAGAUAUCAGGAGGAACACCGAUGGCGAAGGCAGGUCUCUGGGCAUUAACUGACACUCAUGCACGAAAGCGUGGGGAGCAAACAGG
rnacentral:rRNA from 1 species